UACGUAGGGGGCAAGCGUUGUCCGGAAUUAUUGGGCGUAAAGAGCGCGUAGGCGGUUUGUUGCGUCGGCUGUGAAAUCCCGAGGCUCAACCUCGGGUCUGCAGUCGAUACGAGCAAACUAGAGUGUUGCAGGGGAGACUGGAAUUCCUGGUGUAGCGGUGAAAUGCGCAGAUAUCAGGAGGAACACCGGUGGCGAAGGCGGGUCUCUGGGCAACAACUGACGCUGAGGAGCGAAAGCGUGGGGAGCGAACAGG
rnacentral:rRNA from 1 species